rfam:Parcubacteria group bacterium RIFCSPLOWO2_01_FTLL_48_18 rifcsplowo2_01_scaffold_514, whole genome shotgun sequence.
GCCCGGGUGGCGGAAUGGUUUACGCAGAGGACUUAAAAUCCUCGGCCCCUAACAGGGCUUGUGGGUUCGACUCCCACCCCGGGCA